UGGGGAAUAUUGGACAAUGGGCGCAAGCCUGAUCCAGCCAUGCCGCGUGAGUGAUGAAGGCCCUAGGGUUGUAAAGCUCUUUCACCGGUGAAGAUAAUGACGGUAACUGGAGAAGAAGCCCCGGCUAACUUCGUGCCAGCAGCCGCGGUAAUACGAAGGGGGCUAGCGUUGUUCGGAUUUACUGGGCGUAAAGCGCACGUAGGCGGACUAUUAAGUCAGGGGUGAAAUCCCGGGGCUCAACCCCGGAACUGCCUUUGAUACUGGUAGUCUUGAGUUCGAGAGAGGUGGGUGGAAUUCCGAGUGUAGAGGUGAAAUUCGUAGAUAUUCGGAGGAACACCAGUGGCGAAGGCGGCUCACUGGCUCGAUACUGACGCUGAGGUGCGAAAGCGUGGGGAGCAAACAGG
rnacentral:rRNA from 1 species